rnacentral:misc_RNA from 1 species
GAUGAAGAACGUAGCGAAAUGCGAUACUUGGUGUGAAUUGCAGAAUCCCGUGAACCAUCGAGUCUUUGAACGCAAGUUGCGCCCGAAGCCACUAGGCCGAGGGCACGCCUGCCUGGGCGUCACACGCCGUUGCCCCCCCCAUCUACUCCUUCGGGAUUGCGGGGGGGCGGAUGAUGGCCUCCUGUGCGCCUAGCCGCGCGGUUGGCAUAAAUACCAAGUCCUCGGCGACGCACGCCACGACAAUCGGUGGUUGCGAAACCUCGGUUGCCCGUCGUGUGCGUUCGUCGCGCAUCGAGGGCUCGAAAAAAUGCUCGGCUCCGGCUGGGCUUUCAACGCGACCCCAGGUCAGGCGGGGUUACCCGCUGAAUUUAAGCAUAUCAAUAAGCGGAGGA